AUGCACAUAUAAUGUCACCGU
rnacentral:siRNA from 1 species